UAUAUGUAUAUUAAAAAAAAGUAAUAAUAAAAAAAUUGUCAAAUUCAGAACAGUCACAACUGAUGUGUUAAAAUCGUCAGGCAUGGAACACGAUUGCGAUACAAUUAAAAUAAUGUGCAUGUUGAGGAUUAAAUGUGAAAUUGGUUGUGUAACGUAAGAGCAGGGUUGGCAAAAAAUGCAAUACUCUGUCAUGACAUUGCGGCAAAGCAAUUCACUUCCAUUUAUUUUGCACGUAAAUCGUCAAACUGCUCAUCAAACACCAAAACCAAACCAAGAAGGAUUGCUUCACGACACCCUUUUACCGAUUGAGCUUUUUCGCAUCCUUUUUUCAUUGACUUCUCGGCUAACAACAGUUCUAUUCACACGCGUUUAGAAGCUUGUUUGCUCUCAAAGAUUAAAAAAAAAAAAAAAAAAUUAUUAAAUGAAUCAAUGCUGUAGCUUUUCAUAUGAAGCUCAUUUGUUCAUGUUCAUAUUUAUGUGUGCGGAGUUUACGUUUCGCUGUUUGUAUAUUGCACCCUAUUUGUAUAUCCUUUCAAACAUAAUGUUCUUUUUCAACUCUGCGUGAAGUAUUUUCUAUACAUGAUGCCUUAAACUUCAGAGGUCUGAAAUUAUAGAUGAUGUACAUUAAGGCGUUAGUCAACUUUUUUUUUAGGUGUGAUGUCAUUGACCUGACAUAUGUAGACUUAGCUUGCUAAACUUUUGAGCUCAUCAAUUGUACUGCAAAAAAACGUUUUUUGACGAUCAAUUCUAGAUGCUACAAAAGCGAUAGGUACAAAAUACAAAUUCAAGUUGAAGCAAACUGCUUUGCACUGUGAA